rnacentral:lncRNA from 1 species
GGCGCGUCAGAAGCUAGAGGAGGUUAGCGUGUGUGUAGCAUGCUCCCUACUCUAUUAUAAUGUAAAAGCUAUUAUUUGUUUUGUGCAAAUCAAGUUAGUGGUAGAUGGGUAACUUUAUGUCUCAGGUGGAGAGAGACUUAAUUUUUUUUUUUUCCAGACCAAAAGUUUUGUUUCCAAUUUAUCUGGGUAUGAAAAUUUAAUAAGCCCUAUAAAAUAUUUAUAUUACCGGUUUAUAUAAAUACUCAAUUUAACGGAUAAUAUUUCCAAUUUAUUUGGGUAUGAAAAUUUAAUAAGCCCUAUAAAAGAUUUAUAUUACCGGUUUAUAUAAAUACUCAAUUUAAA